GCUGAGAUCGCAUAAUCCGGUAUUGCGCCGGCCUUGAGAGCCGGUUCCUUCGGGAGUUGGGGGUUCGAAUCCCUCUCUCAGCG
rnacentral:tRNA from 1 species